CGGGCAGCCCAACAGAACGUGGCUGUCAGCUCCCAGAGCUGUCUAGGGAGCUGAAGGGACCCUGAUUGGUGUGUCUCCAGACUUCAGAACUGUCUGGGUUUGAACCCAAACCGGCUGAGGUGAGGCAGUCACAAAUCCUGUAAUAAAACUGGUGAAGACAGAGUCUGAUGAUGUCAAAGUUAUCUGACCUUCUGCAAAUAUCCUCAUCUGUGCUGGAAAACUGUCUGAAAAGCAUUGCCCUGCAAAGAAUUAGUGCUUUACUGGGUGUGCUCUUGUAUUAAAUCUGGGCACAGCUUCACCUCUUUUUUCUGUCUCAGUGGAAGAAAUAACAGAUGUGCUGCUGUGCUGGAGACGUUUCCAGGCUGAACCCCUCCGCACCCCUCCCAACAUCAGUAUUCUGCUUGUUGUCCCCACCGGCCAGCAUGAACUGCCCUGAUGUCUUCUUGCUGUGAAUUCAUGCCUUCGUGAGGAAUAAAUACUCACGAGGCUUCCAAGAGGGACAUUCCCGAAGCCGGUGCUGUGCAGCAGGCUUAGCGUAUUUUGCCUUUCCUGGCUCAAGCACUCACAGGGCACUGUUCCCCUAUAGAAUCAUCUCUUAGCAUUGCCAGCCUCCACAAUUUUGCACAGAAAUGGGACCAGAAGUGCUGUGCCUGGACACGAGAAGAUCUCUUAGGACUGGCCUGUGUAAGAACCUUUAACAUCAGCUGCACCUCCUGGACUUGGAAUGAGCACAGCAGAUGUGUG
rnacentral:lncRNA from 1 species